rnacentral:lncRNA from 1 species
AUGGCCGCAUCCAGACUCAGAACAGCCCUGGCUCCAGUGGGAGAAGGCCAGCAGAUCACAAGGUCGUCCACUGCAGCUCCCUGGCUUAUAUACGGUACAUUCAGCAUGCCAGCUUCCUGCCGAUUUUCGACUUUUCUUCUUCUUCUUCUGCGCUUGGCAGUUCUGGGAUUUGAAUUUAUUUAUUUGCCUUUUAACCAGAUCUGUCUUUUCUCUUACACCGAGAGAGGGGAUCCUGCAGGAAGGGGCUGCAACCCUUUGCCAGGCAGGAAUGACACCCCGAAAGGCUUUGCAUCGCCUCCGUAUUUCUAGACUCCUUCCUCUCCUGCAGUGGGCUCCAGACCGCAUGGCGCCGGCCUCUUCUUCCUAACCCCCCCCCCCGCUUUAUCCUCAUGCAACGACACUCCUGCGAGGUAGCUCAGGGUGAUGGAAUGGGACGGCCCCCUAGGGAAACCUCAUGCCUGAGCUGGGGCUUGAACCCAGGGCUCCUGGAUCUGAGUUCGACACAGUGUCCACCCCACCCACCAGGUUCCGCGAUGGGGAAGGAUGUUGCAGGCUUUGUGUGCAAAACGACACACCUGAUUUUUUUGGGGGGGGCACCAAGCACCUUGCUUUUGCCACUUUGACUCAGGCAGCCAAAUAUCUCGUCUCAGCCCUGCCUCCUCUCUUUCCGUCCAUUAUUUCUACCCAGGCUCAGAGAGGUGAGUUCUGCCUGGUGAGUUUGGCAAGGCACCGUGUCGGGAGGAUUUGAACCCGAGCCUUUUGAGCCCUAGUCUGGUGGACUUCGACCCCAUUAGGUCACACUGGCUGAUUCAGACGUUGAGCUCAGAUCCCGCUCACUUUGUUUCCAGGUUGAAUCUUGGAGGUAGCUUUGUAACUUUUAAAGCCCUGCAAAAUGUCUUUCUCAAUCUGUUUUUAUGCACCUGAUGCCUUUUAGUCUUCUCAGUUAUUGGUUAGCUUCUCGUUUGUUUGUUUGUUUGUUUGUUCAACUUAUGUACUGCCCCCAUAGUGCCUAGCACAGUUUACAACAGUAAAUUUGGUCAAAGAGUACGCAAGAGAAUGCCGACGUACAACUUGUAUCAAAGGAAGAAUUUGUCUCCUGCCACAGGCAAGCCUGGUUUUAAAUAAAAGCAAGCCGUUAACCA